CAGCAGCCGCGGUAAUACGAAGGUCCCGAGCGUUGUUCGGAAUCACUGGGCGUAAAGGGAGCGUAGGCGGCGUGGUAAGUCAGAUGUGAAAUCCCGGGGCUCAACCCCGGAACUGCAUCCGAUACUGCCAUGCUAGAGGAUUGGAGAGGUAGCUGGAAUUCUUGGUGUAGCAGUGAAAUGCGUGGAGAUCAAGAGGAACACUCGUGGCGAAAGCGAGCUACUGGACAAUAACUGACGCUGAGGCUCGAAGGCCAGGGUAGCGAAAGGGAUUAGAGACCCGUGUAGUCCCUGUCUCUUAUAC
rnacentral:rRNA from 1 species